rnacentral:rRNA from 1 species
GACUCUCGGCAACGGAUAUCUCGGCUCUCGCAUGGAUGAAGAACGUAGCGAAAUGCGAUACUUGGUGUGAAUUGCAGAAUCCCGUGAACCAUCGAGUCUUUGAACGCAAGUUGCGCCCGAAGCCGUCACGCCGAGGGCGGGCCUGCCUGGGCGUCACGC